GGCCAGGACAGUUUCUUUGAUACUUGAAAGUGGCUGCUCUUUAGGCUGUGAAGGAGAUAAUCUCUACCUCAACUGUUGAGAUUAUAGAAGGAUCUAUCCAUUUUCAUUAUGAAUUCUUGUCCUAUCAUUUCUGAGACUGUCUUCAAAGAUGCCAUGACUAGAAACUUGAAGAGCACCUGGAAACACUGUUUAUGUUUGAUAGAAGGUAUUAUGUCUCUCUCUCUGAAGCUUCCACCACAAAAUUCAUUUAUGCUGAGACUGGGAUGAGUACUGAUCCAAGCGUGUUAGCAGACAAUAAAUAGUAAGAGGAUCAGGACAGCUCCAUACCAUUUGUAAUUCACUGCUUCCAUCAUCUUCCUAAAUUGUUUCUACUCCUAAACCCAUAUUUUUUUUUUUUUACAUCUCACAAGAUAAGAUGCGUGACAGGACCUGAAUGAGCAGUACAUAUGUAUAACAUCAAUGUUAACACAUUUAUAGGUUUCCAGUGAAUAGUAGUAAUUUUUCACAAGGACUCAGUACGUUUUAGACAUAAAUGAAUUACCUCCUAAAAUUUAAUCUAUUUCCCAGAUAUUUUUAUUAUGUUUGUGAUCAAGUAUGAAUGCAUUCGGGUAGCACUUUUUAAGACAAUCAGAUGUUCUACAAUGAGUAUGUGUUUCUUUUACAACUAGAGAUAGUUUUAAAAAUCAUUUUUAAAAUACCAUGAAAUUAUGGUAUUGGUAUCAAAUGGUAUCAAGUACCAAAUACUGGAUUAUUACCUUUGUCUUUUCAUGUCUCCCUUCAUUUGUUGUGAAAGCAGGUUGAUGGGUUUAAGAACAUCAUUAUGUUGAAUACUCUGCCUGAUGGUUUCUACUAAAGCGCUUGUUGCUUGUUGUUCCUCUGACAGGAGAGACAAUUUCUUUUCAGAAUCUAAUAAUAAGAACACAGUAAAAGAAUACAUUUAGUCACUCUAAUUAUUAAAGAAGUUUUUUUUCAGAUUUGUAUCAUUUUUUAUUCAACACCACCUCCCCAUCACAAGUAAAAUUACGUAGUAAUGUGACCAGCUAAAAAAUAUUUUUCUUGCUUUCUUCAGAUAGGAGAGGCCUGUCCCUUUGCCCUUUUCCUGAACUUAGGGCUUCCUGAUUGAGGCUGCAAUGUGAUAUCUUGUAUGCCAGCAGCCAUCCUGUGACCAUGAAUCUUUCCUGAUGGAAAAGCAGACAAAGCGUAAGGAGCCUGGGUCCCCGAUGACAAAGGAGUUGCCUAACAGUCCUGGAGUAUCUAAUUCAUAAAUUCUUCAUGGACUGAAUGACAACUUGGUAACUGGCACAGCAGCCACAAGAAAGAUUAACCUCCAUCAAAACAAAUUUUAAGGUAAGAAAGUGCAAUGGUUUCUCCUAUCUUGUUGUACUGACUACUACUUAAAAUAAAUGAGUCAAAAUAGAAUUUAUACUACUCUAAAAGUUUGUUGUGCCCCUGAUGUAUGUUUGGG